rnacentral:tRNA from 1 species
GGCCUCGUAGCCAGUUGGUUAGAGCGUUGGCUUUGCAAAAGCCUUCCCCUUGCUGGCGUGGGUUCGAAUCCCACCGAGGCCA